AGUUUAUACUUAUCGAACUAUUUUUGGUAAUAGACCGUCUGAACAUUUUAUGUCAAUACAUUCAACACUGUCUAUUUAUAAAAAUUUUUAAUAAUUGGUCAACAUCUGAGGCUUAAUAUUAAAUUAUGACGCUUGGUGAUGUACGAGUUGAGAACAAAAUACAAACAAGAAGUGUAACUUGUGCUCUUAAUGGAAUGGCUUUAGACAACAAGAAUGGAAACAUAAAACAGAAUGACGCGACCAUUUCGUUCUUACGUGCUGCUCGCAGCGGAGACAUUAAAAAGGUGAUGGAUUUUUUGGACUGUGGAGAAAUAUCGGACAUAAAUAAUUGCAAUGCAAACGGUCUUAAUGCACUUCAUUUAGCUGCAAAGGACGGAUAUGUGGAUAUAGUCUGCGAGUUGCUAAGAAGGGGCAUAAAGAUCGAUAAUGCCACAAAAAAGGGAAACACAGCCUUGCACAUUGCGUCUUUAGCGGGGCAACAAGAUGUCAUCAAUCAGCUAAUUUUAUAUAAUGCUAAUGUGAACGUGCAGUCUCUUAAUGGUUUCACCCCGCUUUAUAUGGCAGCACAAGAAAACCACGACAAUUGUUGUCGGAUCCUAUUGGCAAAUGGGGCAAAUCCGUCAUUAUCUACAGAAGAUGGCUUCACACCACUUGCGGUAGCAAUGCAGCAGGGACACGACAAAAUUGUAGCUGUCUUACUUGAAAAUGACGUGCGCGGUAAGGUUCGCCUACCAGCUCUUCAUAUUGCUGCAAAAAAAAAUGAUGUAAAUGCAGCUAAGUUAUUACUUCAACAUGAUCCCAAUGCUGACAUCGUUUCCAAAUCAGGAUUCACCCCUUUGCACAUAGCAGCUCAUUAUGGAAACGUGGACAUUGCCACUUUGCUUUUGAACAAUAAAGCAGAUGUAAACUAUGUAGCCAAACAUAACAUUUCUCCCUUACAUGUGGCAUGUAAAUGGGGAAAGUUAUCACUUUGUAGUUUAUUACUGUGCCGAGGAGCAAAAAUAGAUGCUGCGACUCGUGAUGGUCUUACACCACUUCACUGUGCGUCUCGCUCUGGUCAUGUAGAGGUUAUUAAGCAUUUGUUGUAUCAAAACGCGCCGAUACUGACAAAAACGAAGAACGGUCUGUCUGCGCUCCACAUGGCUGCACAGGGUGAGCACGACGAAGCAGCUCAUUUAUUGUUGGACAACAAGGCUCCAGUAGACGAAGUUACUGUGGAUUACUUAACAGCUCUUCACGUGGCUGCUCACUGUGGUCAUGUUAAAGUAGCUAAGCUUUUACUUGAUUACAAGGCAAAUCCAAAUGCCCGUGCGCUCAAUGGUUUCACUCCUCUUCAUAUUGCGUGCAAGAAAAAUCGUAUUAAGAUAGUUGAACUACUCGUUAAGCACGGAGCUAACAUUGGCGCAACCACGGAAUCUGGCUUAACACCUUUACAUGUAGCUAGUUUUAUGGGAUGUAUGAAUAUUGUAAUAUAUUUACUACAACAUGAAGCUAGUGCGGAUUUACCAACAAUACGCGGAGAAACACCACUUCACUUGGCCGCUCGUGCUAAUCAGGCGGAUAUUAUUCGAAUUUUACUUCGCAGCGCAAAAGUGGAUGCUAUUGCCCGUGAAGGCCAAACGCCACUUCAUGUAGCUUCACGAUUAGGAAAUAUUAAUAUAAUUAUGUUAUUACUGCAGCAUGGAGCAGAGAUAAAUGCUCAAUCUAAAGACAAAUAUUCGGCGCUGCAUAUUGCUGCAAAAGAAGGACAAGAGAAUAUAGUCCAAGUGUUAUUGGAAAAUGGUGCGGAAAUUAAUGCUGUUACCAAAAAAGGGUUUACUCCACUGCAUUUAGCUUGCAAAUACGGAAAGCGGAAUGUGGUUCAAAUAUUACUACAAAAUGGAGCUUCUAUCAAUUUUCAGGGGAAAAAUGAUGUGACCCCAUUACACGUGGCCACGCACUACAAUAAUCACUCAAUAGUGGAACUCCUUUUAAAAAAUGGGUCAUCGCCAAAUUUAUGUGCCCGAAAUGGUCAAUGUGCUAUUCACAUAGCUUGCAAAAAAAAUUAUCUGGAAAUUGCGAUGCAGCUGUUGCAACACGGUGCAGACGUUAAUAUUAUUAGCAAGAGUGGCUUCUCUCCGUUACAUUUGGCUGCUCAAGGGGGAAACGUUGAUAUGGUCCAACUACUUCUAGAUUAUGGAGCUAUCAGCUCCUCUGCAAAAAAUGGCCUGACACCAUUACAUGUGGCUGCCCAGGAAGGUCACGUUCUUGUAUCACAGAUUUUACUGGAGAACGGUUCUAACAUUUCAGAGCGCACUAAAAAUGGUUAUACUCCCCUUCAUAUGGCUGCCCAUUAUGGCCACCUCGAUCUUGUAAAAUUUUUUAUUGAAAACGACGCUGACAUUGAGAUGUCUUCUAAUAUCGGGUAUACCCCGCUUCAUCAAGCCGCUCAGCAAGGUCACAUAAUGAUUAUUAAUAUUUUAUUACGCCAUAAAGCGAAUCCAAAUGCUUUAACAAAAGACGGGAACACAGCUCUAUACAUUGCAAGUAACUUUGGAUACGUAACUGUAAUGGAAUCCCUUAAAAUUGUCACUUCAACAUCCGUUAUUAAUUCAAAUAUUGGUGCGAUUGAAGAAAAAUGCAAGGUAAUGGCUCCAGAGGCUAUGCAUGAAACCUUACUUUCCGAUUCCGAUGACGAAUUUUGUGAUGACCUUUUGGAUCAUAACCAUUACAAAUACAUGGCAACUGAUGAUUUAAAAGCCAACCACGGCCAGGAUCACAAGAACUUCGAUACUACAAACACCGACCACGAUCCUACUGAUGUUCCAGUACUAAAUGAGAAAGAAAUACUACCCAAUGACAUGAGCUGUAUUGAAUUAACUGAAAUGGGACGGCACAAACCCGAUAACGUCGUUAUUGCCCGAUCCCAAGUUCAUUUAGGGUUUCUGGUGUCGUUCUUGGUAGAUGCACGUGGUGGAUCCAUGCGCGGAUAUCGGCACAAUGGUGUGCGUAUUAUCGUACCUCCAAAGGCCUGCGCUGAACCCACACGAAUAACAUGUCGAUAUGUUAAGCCGCAAAGAGUAGUCAACCCUCCGCCUUUAAUGGAGGGUGAAGCACUUGUGAGUCGCAUUUUGGAAAUGUCACCUGUUGACGGAAUGUUUUUAAGCCCAAUAACUUUAGAAGUUCCACACUAUGGCACCCUUAGAAAAAACGAGCGCGAAAUUAUUAUACUCCGGUCCGACAAUGGAGAAAGUUGGCGUGAGCAUAACUUAUAUAAAGACAUAAUAGGAGAAGAUAUAAAUCAAACAGAGGAAUUUCAUUCUGAUCGCAUCGUUCGGAUCGUUACUCAAAAUGUUCCGCACUUUUUUGCUGUUGUUUCGCGAGUUCGUCAGGAAGUGCACGUUAUUGGACCUGAUGGUGGAACUGUUUUUUCUACAGUAGUGCCCCAGGUCAAAGCUAUAUUUCCGCCUCAUGCUUUAACUAAAAAAAUUCGAGUCGGUCUUCAGGCGCAGCCAGUAGACCUGGUCGAAUGUUCUAAGCUGCUCGGUCAAGGGGUUGCUGUCUCACCCGUAGUCACUGUGGAGCCACGACGACGAAAAUUUCACAAAGCUAUUACAUUAAGCAUUCCAGCUCCAAAAGCUUGUACAAAUAGUAUGGUUAAUGCAUGUUAUGGCAAUGGAAAUUCAAGUUCGCCUACUCUUCGACUUUUGUGUUCCAUUAGUGGUGGUCAAACCCGAGCAACUUGGGAAGAUGUUACUGGAUCAACACCGUUGUCAUUUGUUAGAGACAGUGUAACAUUUACCACUACUGUUUCUGCCCGGUUUUGGCUAAUGGAUUGCCGUAAUAUCGUAGACGCAGGACGAAUGGCCACAGAACUUUAUAGUCAUUUGGCCAAAGUUCCUUUUUAUGUCAAGUUUGUAAUAUUUGCAAAACGAAUUUCCCAAACGGAAGCAAAAUUUUCCGUGUUUUGCAUGACUGAUGAUAAAGAGGAUAAGACCCUUGAGCAACAAGAAUAUUUUACAGAAGUUGCAAAAAGCAGGGAUAUCGAAGUGCUGCAGGAUCAAAUUGUAUAUCUUGAAUUCGCUGGUAACAUUGUUCCCAUUUUAAAGAAAGGCGAACAGCUGUAUACCAAGUUUCAACCUUUUUGCGAAAACCGGCUUUCCUUUAGUGCUCACAUCAAAGAUCAAGAAUUGCCACAUGGUCACAUCUGCUUUAUGACCUACCCGAUGGUAGGACCGGAUGAAGUGCCCCUGAAGCCGCUUUGUACCUUGAAUAUUUCAAUGGAUUUUAUAACAAAGCAUCUCGAAAGAGAUAGUUUAAACGAUUGUAUAAAUGUGCAUGGAAAAUUAAAUCACAAUGAAAAUAUUGUAUUUGGAGUAAAGGAACAACAGAUGAAAGAAAUUGAUAUUACUAAAGCUCGUAUUAUGUCAAGUGACAUCGAACUGAUUCAUGGGGCUGAUGUAAUAUUAGGCGACAUUUGUAGCCAUUUAGGAAGAGACUGGCCUUUGCUUGCAAAAGAAUUGGGUGUUUCCCAAACCGAUAUCGAGCUUGUUAAAACAGAAUUUUUGUUAAAUGACAGUGUAACGCAGAGCAUGGUAAUGUUACAGCUAUGGCUAGAACAUGGAGGCAUAUUGACGGGCAAUGUACUAGCUGAAGCCCUCUACAAAAUCGGCCGCUCAGAUAUUGUGGAGAAAAGGUUUAAAAAUUCAGAGCUUGGCACUCUUAAACCGGAAAAAGUUUUGCCGACUGCCAGAAUUGAAAAAAAUUGCGAAUAUGAACAGUAAUUUACAAAGUCUACAGGUCCUUAGCAAAAUAUUUCUAAAAACGCAGACGGUGUCACUAAAAGGAGUAAAUUGAUAUAUACUAAUGCAAUACUUAACAUUUGAACGUUACAUGAGAAAGAGGAGGAACAUGUUAUAAUAUUUGAAAUCCAGACUUCAAAAAUUCACACACCGAGCAGACAAGGAUCUGAAACAGAGGGAGGGGUGCAGAGUGAUAGUAACAAAGAAAAUCCAGUUCGACAAAUAACGAGCGUCAAAUAGCUAGUCCAACAGGCACAAUUGUUCACAUGGAAAUUCUACUCCGGUCAUGGUGUUAGCCAUCCAUCGUAUCCGCAAUAAAUCCGAAAUGUGCAAAUAUCAUCAAAAGACGGAGUCGGCAAAUCAUGCAGCGACGCGAACCUAAACUGGAAAUGGAAUUCAAUAAUUAAAGCCAAAAGUAAACCGUGACAAACAUGAACCCAUGCAUUUUGUUGUUAUUUUUGUUAACCAAUAUAAAAUAAAAACCAAACGUUCUUACUUAUAUAUAUAGAAUAACAGCUUGAUGGUACUUUUUUUUUUAUCUGUAUAACGUUUUUAAUCUGUAUUAUAUUGGAGGUAUUAUAAUAUGUAGACAUGCCCAUGAUCCAGAUCGUCGAGAUCUUAUCGCCCAGGAUGGGUUUGAGGUAUGUUUGACGGAACACCACAGUUCCCGAAUUUUCUUUAAUAUCUUUUAAUGUAUAUAUAUUCUCAUACCAAGAUCCUUUCUUUUUGCGCAUAACAUAGCCGCGUAAGAACGUUAACCAAAAAAUGUAUUAAUCAUAAACGAAAUAUUAUUUUUAGCCUCUUCCAGGCAAGGCAAUUUUACAGAUUAAAAUUAAAGUUAACUUUUCAGCGUCAAGUACCCUCAGUGCGACGCUUGUAGUCUUGAAUAGUUAGCAGUAUUGUUGACGUGUGCACCGUCUCCCGGUGGUGAAUUCGAUCCUGUCCGCUACAAUAAUUAUUGUCUAGUAAUGUUUCUUCAAAAUCUUAAUAGUUGUUUUUUGCCCAUGUCAAUUAUGAACGCAAAUACGAUAGAAUGAGAACAUUUUAUAGGGUGCUGUUGGUCAGAAAUGAUGACAUAACUUAUAACAACCUUGGUAAAAGGGGGGGAUCAUAUUGCGCGACUUGCGACGAUCCAAUUGGCACUCGGGUGUGUGAUGGGGAGGGAAUGUGGCCAAAACAUUCACGAUCGUUCCAAUCAAGCGAAAGUUAGGCUUGUGGAG